rnacentral:rRNA from 1 species
CUGCUGCCUCCCGUAGGAGUCUGGGCCGUAUCUCAGUCCCAAUGUGGCCGGUCAACCUCUCAGUCCGGCUACUGAUCGUCGCCUAGGUGGGCCGUUACCCCGCCUACUAGCUAAUCAGACGCGAGGCCAUCCUCCAGCGAUAAAUCUUUGGUGUUGCAAUGAUGCCAUCACAACACAUUAUGCGGUAUUAGCAGUCGUUUCCAACUGUUGUCCCCCUCUGGAAGGCAGGUUCCUCACGCGUUA